rnacentral:lncRNA from 1 species
AGGGAAGUGCCUCAGGCUCUGGGGGACAUGCUGCAGGGUUGGAGCUCCCACAAAAGGAAAUGAAAUGAGAGAGGGGAGAAGAAGAAUUUCUCCUCAGCUCCCGACCCCUGCAAGCAUUUUCACGUGGGAGAGUCAGGCUGAUUGCUUGGUCUCCGUUGAAGGAAGCCAGCCUUACCCACAAAGGCAACCCCAAACUUUGGUUUAGAAGUGGGGAUGCUGCCUGGUUAACCUUAUCCUUCAGGAAAAAACCCUAGGCUGGGUUCUUGGGGGCAACGAAGCCCUUUGGACUCCUCUUCUGGGCCUCCGGUCCAGUUUGCCCAAGCCAAAUCGCUGGGCUCCAGAGGAAGGCUAAUGCCUAUCCGUGACUUGGGGAUACGUAGUCUCUGUCCCCAUUUAAUUGGGUGCCAGGGUCCAGCCACCCUGGUGGGUGCGGGAGAGGUGCCCCCGAAGAGUAGCAGCAAGAUCUCUUCUUCCCUUCGUUAGGGCUGAAGAAGCAAAGACGCCCUCCGCAGCGCUCUUUCUUUCUCUGUCCCUCUCCCUAAGGCUGUCUCGGUCCCCCAACCGUGUUCUGGUCACUUUCUUGUUCUGCGAGAGGGCAGCGCGGGUCAGACCCGGAGAUAUCUGCGGCGGUUGGGUAAGGAGCCCAAACCAUCUGAAGGGCCGCGCUUGCACAAGGAGUGGCGGGGGCCCGGCAAAG